UUAAUUACUGGCACUGAAUCACACUACAUUUUUUGAAUACACAGCCUGGUAUAAAAACAACAUCUUGUGUAACUGCUGUGGGACUUAUAUUUAAUUUUUCUCUGUAGCAGGUGAAAAACUAACAAAUAACUUGAGAUCCAGUGCUACACCUCUCCGUUCUCUGUCCAUCUCUCCAAUUGAAGCCGAUUCUCAUCCACUACAGCCUCUCACUUUUCUCAAAGAAAUGCAGGCCUUGUCUCUCUAUAAAACCACAGGGAAUAAAGGUGCUCUGAAACUGCCUUCUCACUCCAUAACACCUGUUUCCACAACCUCAAGGGGCUCUAAGUGGAAUCCACCCGCUGCACAGGUUGAUCCCAACUCAACCCCUGGAGAAAUCCACCCUGCCCUCCCCACACAUCCCUCCAGACCUCCAGGAGGAGCAGAGAGGUGUGAUGAACAAAACCAGCCCAACAUCUUUUGAAAGAAAGUCUGUCAUUUCUGUGACAAUGAGCCAAUCCUCUCACAUAUCUGUGAGCAACAUGGCCCUGAUGUGCACUGAACUAGAGAAAACACCCGCAUGCCAGAAAGGAAGUAAGGUUGAGAGACUAGAAUUUAAGUCAGGUCCAACAGCCGUCCACAAGCAUCUUGCCCUGAGCCACUCCGCUAGUCUUUCAGAGAGAGAUGAGGACAGUGAGGAGGACAAAGAGAAUAAGGCUCCUUCUCCCUCACAGCUAGCUCUGAAAAUGAAGCCCAGGAAGCUGUUUGGGCCUACUAAUAAAUCCUUCACUCCUAGUAAGGACCCCAAUAUUAAACUGCUGAUGAAGGAUCAGAGCAGCUCAGAGGAAGAAGAGGAGGACAUAGUCACGGAGAACAGGAGAAGAAAGAGAAGUUACCAGAAAGGCCUCAAUAAAAGGGCCAAGGAAACAAUAAUAUCCACCAAGGAAGUGGAGACACUGUCAUCUUGUACGAAGUCCAGUUGCAGGCAUGCCAGUGUGGAGGCAGACAUUGAUGUGACCCAGCCUGCUCAGCAGGUGGGCUUUAUCUGCCAUCAGUUCAGCUCAGAGUUUAAGAGGAAGAUCAAGAAUCGCUGCAGGACAAUGGAUCUUUACACCAGGCAGACUUUGAAGACCUUACAGCAGCACAUGUCCUCCGUCAGUGUCCAAUAUACCAGUAUAGGUCAGGCAUGACCCUUGACUCAGAAGAGGUCAGAGUUUCUGCCCUAAAACAGAUGUCUUUGAUGAAGAAGAACAUGAAGUCAGUUCAGGAGCGUUUCUUCAAAGAAAUGGUGAGAGAGCCCAAACUGAUAUUUUAUACUUAGGCACAAAAUUCUGCAGGACUGAAUUCAAGUUUUUUUGUCUUUGUAGCACGAGGAAGAGUUGACGAGUGUGGGAAGAGCACUGCAAUCCUUGUUCUUCCCUGAUACAUCGAGGUUCUGACCUGAGGGGAAAAAAAUCUGCCGUUUGAAAAUCACUUUAAGCUACUCCUAAAAUGUGUUUGUAUGCUUGGAUAUCAUUAAUGUUAUGUUCUUUUAAAUUUUUCCUACUCAAAAGGUUUAAUAUUUGUACUUCAUGCCGUUUAUUCUGGUCUUCGUGAAAAAAUGGUUGGCUGUACAUGGUUUUUGCGCACAUAUUUGCUUAUAUAUGCCAUAUAUGGUUUUUAAUAUGAAUAGUUGUGAAAAGCAAAUAAGUAAAUGUUAUAGGUAAUGUAAGAACAAAUGCAUUUAUUUCAAACAUCCCACCUCAUAAUAAUCAACUUCAGAUUUAUAUGUGCAGAAAUGAAAAAGGGAUACUGGAUUCUGAAACCAUCAUAAGAACUUUUUUUGCAUUCACUAGCAAGGGCCUGAAUAAGCAAUCCUCAUGGGUUCAGUUGAUGGGAGAUGUUGAAAAAUAAACACAGAAAGCUUUACUGAAAGGGUUUUUUCUCAUUUUUACUUGCAGUUGAUGGCACUCAAAAUUAAGAUCAGAUUGAGUGACUUUAAAGGGAGAGUAGGCGAUUUUGGAGAGGCUAGCUUUGAAAGCAUAAGAUCCCACCCUCCCUGCAAAUCACUCUCCAAAGCCACGCCUCCUCCAAAACACAUGAACGUGCACAAGCAGACCAUCAGCUAACCAGCGACACUGUGAGAGAUGAUGUUUGUGGAGG
ensembl:lncRNA uncharacterized LOC107594764